GACGUAGGGGGCGAGCGUUAUUCGGAUUUACUGGGCGUAAAGCGCACGUAGGCGGAUCUUUAAGUCAGAGGUGAAAUCCCAAGGCUCAACCUUGGAACUGCCUUUGAUACUGGGGAUCUUGAGUCCGGGAGAGGUGAGUGGAACUGCGAGUGUAGAGGUGAAAUUCGUAGAUAUUCGCAAGAACACCAGUGGCGAAGGCGGCUCACUGGUCCGGUACUGACGCUGAGGUGCGAAAGCGUGGGGAGCAAACAGG
rnacentral:rRNA from 1 species